ensembl:snoRNA
UUCGCACCCAAACCCAAAGGUCACACCGUGUCCGUGGUGUGAUUUUGUCUGGUGUGCAAACAGGAACUUGGUCCUUGUCGCCUUUCUCUGCUGCUGCCGUGCCUCUGAAAGUGAAUUCAAGGCUCAACAAGU